rnacentral:rRNA from 1 species
UACGUAGGGUGCGAGCGUUAAUCGGAAUUACUGGGCGUAAAGCGUGCGCAGGCGGUUUUGUAAGCCAGAUGUGAAAGCCCCGGGCUCAACCUGGGAAUGGCAUUUGGGACUGCAAGGCUUGAGUGUGGCAGAGGAGACUGGAAUUCCUGGUGUAGCAGUGAAAUGCGCAGAGAUCGGGAGGAACACCCGUAGCGAAGGCGGCACUCUGGGCCGGUACUGGCGCUGAGGAGCGAAAGCGUGGGGAGCAAACAGG